rnacentral:piRNA from 1 species
UUAGAUAAGUUCUGAAAGGUGUCCACUGA